AUCUAAGUAGCUUAUUAGAGUAUUGUGCUGAAGAUACAAUGGAAGAUUUUAUGAUCUCUUAGAUA
rnacentral:tRNA from 1 species